rnacentral:lncRNA from 1 species
UCGGUGCGCCGCAGUGCCCCUUCCUCCUCCUCCUCGGCGUGGCGCGGCGGCAAUGCCUCCGCCGGCCACGGGGACACGGUGCGCGCAAGGGUGGCAGGGGCAGCCGCGCCGGUGACCGAGGCGACGGCGGCCGAGGGAUGCGGCAGGCAGGAGGCCCCCGCCGCACCGACGGGAUCUCGACCUGUCCCUGAACCCUACCAGCGAGUCGCCUCCCUCGCCAUGGCGAAGCCCUCACCACCGCCGCCGCCCAACUCCGGCCUCCGCAUCCUCCUCGCCAAGGACCGCACGGCCACUUCCUCUCCCUCCGCGCCCGCGGUCGUCUCUAGCCACGCCGACCGCGACCGCAUAAUCGUGAGCCCCCUCCCUCCCCC